UAGGCUUUACCACUCCGGAAGCUGGCGAUGAGCCUCGUUCUGACUCAUCGAACUCCGUAACGUAGUUACCGUUGCCGUUAUCGACGUCCCUUCUGUUUUCAACAGAAAAACGAUCGCUUUUGCUCCGCUGACCUCUACGUUUCGCUCACUGCUGUAUCAUUCCAAGUGUGUCUUCUUCCAAGAUGAAUACAAGGCUUCACAUUCAAGCUCGGGAGGACAUAAUUCGCUAUUAUGGCACUCCUGCGGCUGUGAGUUUGUGGCCGUCUCAGGAUGAGGAGUCCGACUGUGUAUGUAGUUUUACAUGCCCACCCUAUAAAUUCUUCCGUCUAGUAUAGCUGAUUUGUUGCACAUUAAGUCUGCCCAGUCCCUAUAAUAAAGUGUGAUUCGUUUUCUUUGCAAAA
rnacentral:misc_RNA from 1 species